GCCUCCGUGGCGAAACGGCAUACGCGGCCGGUUCAGAACCGGCUCCCGCACGGGGUGCAGGUUCGAAUCCUGCCGGAGGUA
rnacentral:tRNA from 1 species